rnacentral:rRNA from 1 species
UACGGGGGGGGCAAGCGUUGUUCGGAAUUACUGGGCUUAAAGCGUGUGUAGGCGGAUGCCUAAGUACCUUGUGAAAUCCCACGGCUCACCCGUGGAACUGCUUGGUAUACUGGGUGUCUUGAGCCACUUAGGGGCUACCGGAACAAAUGGUGGAGCGGUGAAAUGCGUAGAUAUCAUUUGGAACGCCAAUGGUGAAAACAGGUAGCUGGGAGUGUGCUGACGCUGAGACACGAAAGCCAGGGGAGCAAACGGG